rnacentral:piRNA from 1 species
UCCAACUGUGAAAGCGAAUGUGCACUGAGC